rnacentral:rRNA from 1 species
GGGGGGGGGGGGGGGGGGGGGGGGGGGGGGGGGGGCGGGGGGGGGGGGGGGGGGGGGGGCGGGGGGGUGGCGGGGGGGGGGGUGGUGCGGCGGAGGGUGCCCAGUCGGGGGGGAUGGCGCCGCGCCAGCGUGGCUAGUACCGCAUCCGGUCUCGGGGUGGUCGCGCGGGCCCGUACGGCCUCGCGCGCUUGGCUCGGCCGCUGUCAGAUUGCUGCGUUGGGGGGGUAAAGGCUCACCAAGCCCACGAUCUGUAGCUGGUCUCAGAGGAGGACCAGCCACACGGGGACGGAGACACGGCCCAGACUCCUACGGGAGGAAGCAGUGGGGAAGUUUGGAAAAUGGGCGCAAGCCUGAGCCAGCAAUGCCGCGUGCAGGAAGAAGGCCUUCGGGUUGUAAACUGCUUUUGUACGGAACGAAACGGCUCUGGUUAAUACCCGGGGCUAAUGACGGUACCGGAAGAAUAAGCACCGGCUAACUACGUG